rnacentral:rRNA from 1 species
GACGAACGCUGGCGGCGUGCUUAACACAUGCAAGUCGAACGGAAAGGCCCCAGCUUGCUGGGGUACUCGAGUGGCGAACGGGUGAGUAACACGUGGGUGAUCUGCCCUGCACUCUGGGAUAAGCCUGGGAAACUGGGUCUAAUACCGGAUAGGACCGUGCUUUAGUGUGUGCGGUGGAAAGUUUUUCGGUGCAGGAUGAGCCCGCGGCCUAUCAGCUUGUUGGUGGGGUAAUGGCCUACCAAGGCGGCGACGGGUAGCCGGCCUGAGAGGGUGUACGGCCACAUUGGGACUGAGACAUGGCCCAGACUCCUACGGGAGGCAGCAGUGGGGAAUAUUGCACAAUGGGCGCAAGCCUGAUGCAGCGACGCCGCGUGGGGGAUGACGGCCUUCGGGUUGUAAACCCCUUUCGGCAGGGACGAAGCUUUUGUGACGGUACCUGCAUAAGAAGCACCGGCUAACUACGUG